CAGUCGCCACGGUAAUACGAAGGGGGCUAGCGUUGCUCGGAAUGACUGGGCGUAAAGGGCGCGUAGGCGGCGAUCAAAGUCAGGCGUGAAAUUCCUGGGCUCAACCUGGGGGCUGCGCUUGAUACUUGGUUGCUUGAGUGGGGAAGAGGGUCGUGGAAUUCCGGUGUAGCGGUGAAAUGCGUAGAUAUCGGAAAGAACACCUGUGGCGAAGGCGGCGACCUGGUCCUUGACUGACGCUGAGGCGCGAAAGCGUGGGGAGCAAACAGGAUUAGAUACCCGAGUAGUCCCUGUCUCUUAUACA
rnacentral:rRNA from 1 species